rnacentral:rRNA from 1 species
CAGUCGCCGCGGGAAUACGGAGGGUGCAAGCGUUAUCCGGAUUUAUUGGGUUUAAAGGGUCCGUAGGCGGAUCUGUAAGUCAGUGGUGAAAUCUCACAGCUUAACUGUGAAACUGCCAUUGAUACUGCAGGUCUUGAGUAAAUUUGAAGUGGCUGGAAUAAGUAGUGUAGCGGUGAAAUGCAUAGAUAUUACUUAGAACACCAAUUGCGAAGGCAGGUCACUAAGAUUUAACUGACGCUGAUGGACGAAAGCGUGGGGAGCGAACAGGAUUAGAUACCCGCGUAGUCCCUGUCUCUUAUAC